UACGUAGGGUGCAAGCGUUGUCCGGAAUUAUUGGGCGUAAAGGGCUGUAGGCGGUUUGUCGCGUCUGCUGUGAAAUUUCGGGGCUCAACCCCGAACUUGCAGUGGGUACGGGCAGACUAGAGUGUGGUAGGGGAGACUGGAAUUCCUGGUGUAGCGGUGAAAUGCGCAGAUAUCAGGAGGAACACCGAUGGCGAAGGCAGGUCUCUGGGCCACUACUGACGCUGAGAAGCGAAAGCAUGGGGAGCGAACAGG
rnacentral:rRNA from 1 species